CCUACGGGAGGCAGCAGUGGGGAAUAUUGCGCAAUGGGCGAAAGCCUGACGCAGCGACGCCGCGUGAGGGAUGAAGGUCUUCGGAUCGUAAACCUCUGUCAGCAGGGAAGAACGGUCACUGUGCUAAUCAGCAGUGAAUUGACGGUACCUGCAAAGGAAGCUCCGGCUAACUCCGUGCCAGCAGCCGCGGUAAUACGGAGGGUGCGAGCGUUGUCGGGAAUUACUGGGGGUAAAGGGAUCGUAGGCGGUUGUGAAAGUUAAAGGUUAAAUCUACCGGCUUAACUGGUAGCUGCGUUUAAAACUGGUAGUCUUGAGUGUGGUAGAGGCAGGUGGAAUUCCUGGUGUAGCGGUUAAAUGCGUAGAUAUCAGGAGGAACAUCAGUGGCGAAGGCGGCCUUCUGG
rnacentral:rRNA from 1 species